UUCGGACAAGGAACCAAGCUGAUUGUAACAAGCUCCAGUCUCUCUGCUCCUGUCCUGACAGUCUUCCCUCCGUCCAGUUCUGAGCUCCAGUCCAGCAAAGUCACUCUGGUCUGUCUGUCCAGUCAGUCUGGGCCUUUUUCAGAUGUGAGCUGGUUGCUUGCUGGGAGUCCAGUAAGCAGUGGGAUCUCUACCAGCACUGCUGUUCAGAGACCAGACCAGACUUUCCAGAUCAGCAGCUCUCUGACCAUCCAGACAUCAGACUGGAACAUGAAUAAGGUUUACACAUGUAAAGUGUCUUUGGGCUCCCAGACUGCAGAGAAAACCAUCAACAAGUCUGAAUGUCCUGCUGAUGAAUAGAAGAGGACCACAACCAUCAUUAAAACCUGCUUCUCACUGUUUGUGCUGUUUGCUCAUUAAACACUUUUCAAUGUUGGAAACUUAUUCUUCCCACUGUGUUGAAAGAGUUCUCAAAUUUUUGUGUCGCAUUUGUUGCAUUUGAUAGAAAAAAGAUAAACAAAUAAACAACUUUUUGAUUAAA